GAGAGAAUGAAUGCCUUUCCCCUCACCUGGUGCCAGUACAAGUCUAUGAUCAGCUGCUAAGCAACAGGGCCAGCUGUAGGAGAGCCCUGAAAGAACCUGUGCUGUGCUACAGGACGGAGGGCUUCCGGACGGAGGGCUUCAGGACGGAGACGCACCGUACACACAGUCCCUACGGGGAAAGAUGACAACACGAGGCCCAGACAGAGAACAUGCUGGAAACUCUUGUCCUGACCUUGUUAGUGGAAGUGUGCGCGGAGAAGUCAGCGAAACAUCAUUUUCAGGCGCAUUGCUUCUCCAAUGGAUCUCUUAAAAGCCUUGGCCCUUGUGAACCGGACACUUACAGAAUAAACAUCUAAAGCCAGGAAACUAAGACAGUUGACCCCAGAGUUUCCUCGCGGCUCCAGAAAAGCCGCUAGAUGGCGAUCUGGAGCUGACCGCAAGAUCCGACUCCUUCCUCUUCCCCUUACUUCCCAGCUAAGAGGCCCCUCUCCCGGAGGGUGACUGGAGUGUCCAGCUGACCCGGUUUCCUUGGGUUUCCCGUUUCAGAGAUAGCCACUCUCCAGGCAUAGCAAGAGCCAAAAGGCCCAAUGGACUCCGUAGCGGUCCCGGGCAAGCCUGGAAAGGUGCAGAGAUCCGAGCCGCUCCCUGCGCUGGUCCGCCGUCCCACCUCGCCUGUCCCCAGCAGAACUGGCGCUUGGUAACACCCCGCGGCCAGUCCCGGGCGAGCCUUCCCCGAAAGGGGCGCGCCUUCGUCGCUCCGGGUUGCUACAAGAGUCCUGGAGUUAAACUUU
rnacentral:lncRNA from 1 species